rnacentral:SRP_RNA from 1 species
GCCCCGUGAACCGUGUCAGGCGGGGAACCGAGCAGCACUAAGCGGUCCGCCGCGUGUGCCGCGGGGAUACUGUUCUUG